AGGCAUUGGGUACUUUGCAGAGUGGUGGAAAAGCUUGUUGUCAUGCCCUGAAUUCCUCAAAGAGGGAAAAUGAGCCUUACGUACUUGGAACAACAAAACCGGUACAAGUCACGUGGCAAGAGGAUCGACGUGUCCAAGACUGCAGUUCUGAGGGUGAUGAUGAGCCCGAGCUGUCAGAAAUUGAAAAGGACCGAGAAAUGCAAGUUCCAUUGCUCUUUGUUGUCUCCUUGGCGGUAGUAGCUGGAUGCUGUGUCAAUAUUAACAGCAGCACUCAGCAAGUGGGAAACUGACAUUGCACGCCCCUGAAAGCCAUCUUGGAAAACCAUUUGUGCUGCACAGAGUCAAAACUCCCAGCAGCCCAUUUGCUGUCAGGUUGAAUGUGGAAAAGAGAAGUAGAGCACAAGAAAUUUACCAGGUCAUUUGGGUUUGACCAACUCCAAACGGAGUUUGGCCAAAAGCCAAAGACACAGUCAGUUUCCUCUUUCAAAGUGGGUUUUGUAAAAUCAAAAGCUCUAUUUGGGUACUAGGGAAUAAAGUUUUUCAAUGUAUACAAUUUCUCUGAAGCACUACAGUUUCAUGUCAUGCGCAUGGAAUUUGAUAGUACAAUUUAGGACGCAAAAAUCCCUUUGUACUUGUCUAGGUUUCUUUCUUAUCCACGCACAGAAAGUACUAGAGUUUUCUUCUUCUCCGACGAUAAUGAGCGCCUAAGAGGUAGGACAAAAUUUCUCCUCCCCCUUUUGUACUUCUUUCCCUUCUGAACCUUUCCUGGACUAGUUAUGAAUAUUUUCUAGCAAAAUUUGCCACCCUUAGUUGUAGUCAAAAUAGUGGUAGAAUUCUGUGAGCAAUUCCUGGUAAAAUAGAGGUCAAGCAAAUUUCUGGCUUUCUUUUCUUUCAGAUAUUUGGCUAAUAGGAAUCUGGACUUUUAGAGCUUGUCGAAAACUUAGUCACUUGACAGGUUACCUAGACAGUUUGAAUCCUUUCAGGAGCCAACGUUAUUUUGUAGAUUACUAGAGCUCAGUGAAGAGAAAGAGGGUUAGGAAGACAGACUUAGAUUAUUGCUUGAGGUGAGUAUGGAACGUCUGUUCCCUGGUAGCUCUAGGCGAAAGCUGAGCAUGGGGAGGGAAUGCAGGUAUGAAUGUGCAUGCCAAAUUAAUUUGGGACCUCAAGAAGAGCUUGAAACUUUUUAUUGACUAGGAAACAAAAGCUUUGUAGUCUACCGCUGUGUACAACACCCUGUUGUGUUUUCCAGUCAGGUAAACCACUACAACUCUGUAUGUUUCAGGAGCACCACCUUAACUAUCUGUAAGGAAUGUAUUUAAGAGAUAGAGUGAAUUUAGACACUUCUCCUAGUAGUGGAAUAGGAAACUUCUCCGAAGAAUUUGUUAGAUUUUCAUUAUAUUCUGGAACGCCGAAGGAAGCAUAAGGAUACCAAAUAGAAAGUGCAAGCAAACCAAUAUACCUUUUACUGAUUAGAAGCGGGUCACGUUUGUUCCUUGAAGGGGCUGCCAAGCAAUGGGACUUUCAAAAUCCUUUCAAUGGUCUAACAAGAGAACGUGUUGACAGUCCCUCUUAGGCAGUGUUUUGGAGCUGGGGCUGAGGCUCUCGAG